rnacentral:rRNA from 1 species
AUUGAACGCUGGCGGCAUGCCUAACACAUGCAAGUCGAACGGAGCGGCGGACGGGAGCGUAAUGCCUAGGAAUCUGCCUGGUAGCGGUGGAUAACGUCCGGAAACGGGCGCUAAUACCGCAUACUAUCAGAUGAGCCUUGGGCGGAUUAGCUAGUAGGUGGGGUAAAGGCCUACAAAGGCGACGGUCCGUAACGGGUUUGAGAGGAUGAUCAGUCAAAUUGGACGGGGGACACGGUCCAGACUCGUACGGAGGGCAGCAGUGGGGAAUAUUGGAAAAUGGGCGAAAGCCUGAUCCACACAUGCCGCGUGUGUGAAGAAGGUUUUGGGAUUGUAAAGCACUUUAAUUUGGGAGGCGUUACCAACAGAAUAAGCACCGGCUAACUUCGUGCCAGCAGCCGCGGUAAUUC